CCUCACCUCUGUGGCCUGUGACUACAUCUUCCAAGUCCUUCUGUGCAACAAAUCCCUGUCCCUUCUUGAUCUGGGGUCAAAUUUCCUGGAAGAUAAUGGAGUGGCAUCUCUUGGUGAGGCACUGAAGCAUCCAAACUACAAUGUUGAGCAGUUGUGGUUGGUGGAUUUUUGCCUCACUUCUCUCUGUUGUAAGGACCUCUCUGCUGUUCUUGUUUGCAAUGAAAAACUAAAGACCCUGAAACUAGGGAGCAAUGACAUCCAAGACGCAGAUGUCGAGCAGUUAUGUGAAGCUCUGAAGCAUCCGGACUGUAGAGAAUCUUGGGCUGGAAAUGUGUCAGCUCGCCAGUACCUGUUUUGAGGCCCUGGCCUCGGUUCUCACUGUCUGCAGAUCACGGAAGAGCCUGAAUCUGGACUGGAUUAGCUAGGACCAUGAUGCGGUGGUUGUGCUGUGUGAGGCCCUGAACCACCCAGCUCGGGUGAAUGGAUGUCCUUUCCCUCAGAGUGAGGUCAGCCCAUGGCUUUGCAAAUCUCCUUUUGACGAGGAGAUUCAGAUGCUGCUCACAGCUGUGGAAGAGAAAAAUCCCCACCUGACCAUUUCCCAUCUUCUCUGGGUCAACGAAGAGUACAGGAUCAAGGGUGUGCUCUCCUGACGGGGGA